AGCACCAAUUGGCACUUUUGAAAAGGAGUGCCUCCUCGAAAUUGUCAAAGCUGCAAAAAAAAAAGCACAGUGUUGGCAAGACAUUCCAAAUAUCUUUUUUUUUUUCUAAAACAGGCUGUAGGAAAACUCCCAUCCAGAGCAAAGAACCGUUAUUCAUGCUAUAAGCGGAAAAUAAAGGAAACUGGGGGAGGUCCACCACCACAGUCUCUAGAUAACAUCACGCAAAAGGUGCUGCAGCUCAUUGAAGGCGAAUUGGAGCCACUGGCGAAUGUGUGGGAUUCGGAUGCUGGAAUACAUGAUGAAUCUAGUGCCAUUACCGAUUCAUUCGCUGAUAGCAAUCCUGGGCCAACCCCGAUUGCCACUCCACCUGUGGUUCAAGACCUAACAAAAGAUGGCGAUACUCUGGUUUUAUCAGAGGUGAUUUUCACAUCUGAUGAGGAAGCAGCAGCCCAAGGACCUAGUUGUGAGGAAGAAAGCGCUAGGCCUACGUGCUCCUCACAGACUACAGCACCGAAAAGAAAGAGACAGGCAAAGAAAGAUGCAGCUUACGACGCUGCUCUUCAUGAAGCUGUAGUUCGAUGAAGAAAGAAAAUGGAAUUGGAUGAAAUAUUUCACAAAACACAAAUGGAGUUUUAAGGGAAUAUCAUGAAAAACAAAUGGAAUAUCAUGAGAAACAAAUGGAAGUGUUACAACUCCAAAAGUUAUAUUGGGAGAAAAAAAAACAAGGAAUAUGAAUU